rnacentral:rRNA from 1 species
CGGUGUUUAACUGGCGUGAUGUGGGACGUCCUACCGGUGGGCUUAGCCUCGCGAGGGGCGGCCCAACUAAUAUCCCGUCGCGGUGCUCUUUACUGAGUGUCGAGUCGGGCCGGUACGUUUACUUUGAACAAAUUAGAGUGCUUAAAGCAGGCUAUCCUCGCCUGAAUACUGCGUGCAUGGAAUAAUGGAAUAGGACCUCGGUUCUAUUUUGUUGGUUUUCGGAACCCCGAGGUAAUGAUUAAUAGGGACAGAUGGGGGCAUUCGUAUUGCGACGUUAGAGGUGAAAUUCUUGGAUCGUCGCAAGACGGACAGAAGCGAAAGCAUUUGCCAAAAAUGUUUUCAUUAAUCAAGAACGAAAGUUAGAGGUUCGAAGGCGAUCAGAUACCGCCCUAGUUCUAACCAUAAACGAUGCCAGCUGGCGAUCCGCCGAAGUUCCUCCGAUGACUCGGCGGGCAGCUUCCGGGAAACCAAAGCUUUUGGGUUCCGGGGGAAGUAUGGUUGCAAAGCUGAAACUUAAAGGAAUUGACGGAAGGGCACCACCAGGAGUGGAGCCUGCGGCUUAAUUUGACUCAACACGGGAAACCUCACCAGGCCCAGACACCGGAAGGAUUGACAGAUUGAUAGCUCUUUCUUGAUUCGGUGGGUGGUGGUGCAUGGGCCGUUCUUAGUUGGUGGAGCGAUUUGUCUGGUUAAUUCCGAUAACGAACGAGACUCUAGCCUGCUAAAUAGGCGUACCUUAUGGUAUCGCGAAGGCCCCCGGCUUCGGCCGGUGGGUUUUUACUACCAACGUACAAACAAAUCUUCUUAGAGGGACAGGCGG